rnacentral:rRNA from 1 species
UUCUUUUUAGGGGAAGGUGUGUUGUAAUGGAUGUUCCGCCAAAUAAUUUACUUCUAUUAUGUUGGUGUAUAUCUGGUUUGAUAUUAAUGUUUAAUAAUAUAAUUUGUGUAUAAUUUAUUAAGCCAAGUCAAUGUGCUGCUUAUAGGAGUGUUCAUGCGUUACAUUUAUAAUCUAUUCAUUGUAAGUUUGAAUAAAUUUAGGACUUAAUAGUAAUGUUUAAUUAAUUUGUUGAUGUGAAAUAAGUUUAGCUCAUGUACACACCGC